rnacentral:lncRNA from 1 species
UUCCCAGGCUGUCUCGGUGUUGCACCCUGGUUCCUGACGCACAUCCCCGAGGUGGGUCCACCUUUCUACAAGAAGAAAGGCUCGGUGGUGAAUUAUCCGGCAACAAUAGGAGUUGUGUCCGUUCAUAACAUACCGUUUAAAAGCCAUGGCCUCGGAGGAAAUUAAACUAACAAAGACUGUCCACAGCGAGGCUCUGAGCGCCCAGGUUGCAGAAUCGGAGUCUUACUCUGUGACCCAGAUUGUCCCUGGACUCAUGGCUAUACUCCUGACCCAGCCUUCCAUGUGCUGGGAUUGCCUCCAUGAUGAACACCACCACAACUGGCUCAUGUUCUUAUUCCUGUAAGACCAUAAAAUACACAGCUUUUCAUAAAAUACAGAUGGGCUUAGGAGAUAACCAUAGUCAGACUUGGUACUUAAAGGCUUGACAAAUUCAGAGCCAGGCCACAAGAACGAGGAAGAGAAUCUCAGCUUCACAGACAGACCCUCUUGGACAGAAUUGCCGAUGAUGAGGCCGUGGACUGGAGUGACGUGUCUUUGGUAACAAAGGAAACUUCUCGGCCUUUUAUGAAUCUACUAAUAGCUCCUGGCCUUGUAUUUCCUUUGUGGCUGGCUUAUGGAAGGGACAUUUGCGACAGAGAGCUGCCAACUUUAGUAAAGGGCCACAAAACUACCAGCUUUGAGUGAUUCAUGGACUAAGCAGAGACUCUUGGGCAAUUUGUAGUACAUAAAUAUUUAUAGUUACCACUUAAACAAAUGGGUGUAUCCAUGUUCUGAUAAAACUUUAUGU